rnacentral:rRNA from 1 species
AGAAUCAACGCUGGCGGCGUGCCUAACACAUGCAAGUCGAACGAGAAAGGGGAGCAAUCCCUGAGUAAAGUGGCGACCGGGUGAGUAACACGUGACUAACCUACCCUCGAGUGUGGAAUAACAUCGGGAAACCGAUGCUAAUACCGCAUGACAUCGGCGCUUUUAAGAGAUGCCGAUCAAAGGAGCAAUCCGCUUGAGGAGGGGGUCGCGGCUGAUUAGCUAGUUGGCGGGUAACGGCCCACCAAGGCGAAAGAUCGGUA